UACGUAGGGUGCGAGCGUUGUCCGGAAUUAUUGGGCGUAAAGAGCUUGUAGGCGGUUUGUCGCGUCUGCUGUGAAAAUCCGGGGCUCAACCCCGGACUUGCAGUGGGUACGGGCAGACUAGAGUGUGGUAGGGGAGACUGGAAUUCCUGGUGUAGCGGUGGAAUGCGCAGAUAUCAGGAGGAACACCGAUGGCGAAGGCAGGUCUCUGGGCCAUAACUGACGCUGAGAAGCGAAAGCAUGGGGAGCGAACAGG
rnacentral:rRNA from 1 species